ACGGGGGUGGUCGUCAACGUCAGGAUCUUGUGGCACUCUCAAAUCUUCCAUGGCACUUUCAAGAUCUACCAACGUUUCGAAGCUUUUCGCCGAGCUCUACACCUGCAGAUCUUUCUUUGCACCGCUCAAUCAUUCUGCGCUGCACGGGACAACGAUUCCGACCAACUAAGGUCACUAAGUAAUGUUAUUUCGAUAUUCCAUUGAGAAAAUGGAGAGGAUCUCGUGGAAAGACCAACAAGCAAGGAUUACGUUGAGAAAAUUGGCCGAUAAUCACGAUGAAAUCGAUAUUUAGAAGAAAUGGAAUGCGCAGGAGAAGAGACCAGGGAAGAAGGGUUGAGAAGAGAGAGAAAGGGAAUCGGGCGGCGAGUAAGAAACAGAUAGAGGGAAGAGAGAAAAUAUACAUGAAGGUAGUGUUAUUUUUUUUGAGAGUGUAAAUAAUUUUAACUUUUUAAUAUUGAAAGGGU
rnacentral:misc_RNA from 1 species